CCUACGGGCGGCAGCAGUAGGGAAUAUUCCGCAAUGGGGGAAACCCUGACGGAGCAACGCCGCGUGAACGAAGAAGUUAUUCGUAAUGUAAAGCUCUUUCAACAGGGAAGAAAGAGAAAUUUGACGGUACCUGAAGAAUAAGCUCCGGCUAACAAAGCACCAGCAGCCGCGGUAAUACGGAGGGAGUGAGCCUUAUUCGGUAUGUGUGGGUGAAAGGGAUGGGAAGAUGACAGAGAACGUCUUUUGUAAAAAUGCUGGCCCAAACACAGUAGGGCAAAAGAUACUGCAAAGCUAGAGUAUGACAGAGGCAAGUGGAACUACAAGUGUAGCGGUAAAAUGCGUAGAUAUAUGGAGGAACACCAGUGGCGAAGGCGGCUUACUGGAUCGAAACUGACAUUGAGGCACGAAAGCGUGGGGAGCAAACAGGAUUAGAUACCCGAGUAGUC
rnacentral:rRNA from 1 species